rnacentral:lncRNA from 1 species
UGAUGUGACGGGCUCCGACCAACGCUGGCAAAGAGUGGCAUCUCUGUGAGGCGGAAGCUGAUCCGGGAAAGGACAAAGCAAGGCAGUCUGAGUGGAUGUGCGCUGCACAAAGUUGGCUCUGAGCAGAAAGCUGGCAGUGAAGGCCACUGUGGCCAGGCCUGGUGUCUGGCCUGCCUCUGGGCCCCACAUCCAGAGAUAUAGUGGGUCUGGGGUAGGCCUGGGAAUCUGCAUUUUUAACAAGCACCACUUGGGACCUUGUGGCUUUGGCCCAUCCUAGCCUACCUGUGUCCGUGGGCUGCGGCCUGGCUGAAAGAGUUCAUAUCACCCUGGGGGGUUGUAGAAAUUCCAUUCCUGUACAUGGUUCCUAUCAGGGGAUCCGCACCACGCUCCAACAGCAAACUAACCAGCUCAAAAUUUCCUGCAAGCCCAGAGAAGGGGGUUUUAUAAGCGAAUAAAGCAAACACACGGUCACAGACACAGCGAGGGCCGAGGUGGUGGAGACCCUUGGCCGGGAUGAGAAUCAGCAACUCUUACCUACGGCAGCAGCCAGCUGGAGGGGCGUUUCCGAGUAGUUCUCCUCGCCGUGCUCCACGGAACCUUCCACCUUGGCCCCGGCGUCCAGGAGCAGCUGCAGAGGAAGAGUGGCCAUUGAGACAUUUAAAGACAUGUGCUGUGAGGACACGUCAGGAGAGCUGGUGGGAGUCAGCACAGUGCCAAUGUUCCUGCCCUCCCUCUGGGUCAGUGGCCAUGUGCACAGGGUGAGGGCAACUGUACCUUGGGGGAUGAACUGAUGGCCCCUCGAAUCUACUAGAACCUCGGACUAUCAAAGUGUGGUCCACGGAAAAGCAGCAUCAGCAUCCCCUGGGAGCUUUGAAAUGCUGGCUCUCAGGGCCCACCCCCGACCAACUGAAUGAGAGUGUUUGCAUUUCAGCAAGAUCUCCAGGUGAUUUAUAAGUACAUUGAAGUUUCCAGAAGUGCUGACUGAGCAGCUCAUGGCAUCAGAGUGCUGGAAGACUCCCUUUUCGGGUCGGUUACACAAAGCCUCGGAGAGAGCAUUAGAGGGAUCUCUUAGAACCACAGAAUCUUGAGUUCUGAAGGACUCUGGAGACCACCUGGGCCAAUGAGGGCAAGGAUGCCUUCUAGAACACUCUGGAUGGCUCUGAGUAUAGUUUAGCCAAUGCUAAAUUUCCUGGUCAGGAAUUAAUAAAGAGGCAGAGUGAGAAUCCAGGAGUUUACUCCGUUCUGUGCAUUCCUGAAGGGCUUCUUCAAGAUGGAGAUUCUGUCUGUGCCAGAUCUCACUCUCAGUGAAUGUGCUCUCAGGACCACCAAUGGAAAAUGGGGAGGGGGGGCAAUCUACCUUCUUUGCUACGUAUCCAGGGCUCCCUCAGGGCACAGCCAGGAGAGGGCUGACUCCUGGCAUUCCGGGACCUGUGUACCUGCAGUGAAGAGGUGGCCUGACUUCUUUUUGGGUUUGCCUGGCUGCCCGCUGCUCCUAUUCCUGAUUUAAAGGCUUGGGGAUGCCACUGCACUUUAAGGGUGGCAUUUGUGUCCACUAGGCCACCUCCCGAUCCCUUCUUUCUUAUAUUCCUCUACCAAGAGUGAAGUGGGCAGAAGUUUCAGCUCUCAGCAUAACACGUCAUACUCUCAACCUCCUGAAACAUGACUUUGGGUCUGUCCUAAGGAGUCCCAUGACUGAGGAAACAACAAAAGAUUCCUGUGGAUUUCCAACAUUGCCUCAUGGUCCCUGGAACACUUAUUUCCUGCUCUGUAAACUUCUAAGACGCCUGGAGCACAUAACAGCAAGUAUUCCUGAUGUACCCACAGCUCAGCACCAUGAGGCCAGGUGUGAUAAUGGACCUGGAUGCUGAGUUCUUUUUUCCUGAUGAAGUGAAGAGCAAGUUUAAGAUCUAGAAUAUAUUCGAUGGCUAUUUGUUGAAUACCAACUGUACAAGAGCCAGAAAAAGUAUAACCAAUACAUACUUAAAUGCCCAACGGCCCUCGGAUGAGGACAUCUCUCCGUACUUGGGGAGCCUUGGGUAGCUGUUUCAGAAGACACAUCCAAAGGCCUUACUCUAGACCUCUUGGAUCAGAUUCUCAGUAAGUAGAAUCCAAGCAAGUGUCAUUUAGAAUCAUUCCCUUGGCAACUUGGGGAUGCUUCUUUCCACUAGUUAGAAACCACUAGAUUCUACACAAACACCAGGGUCACACCUCAGGGGAGGUUCUAAGGUCUCACACCAUCCAAGUCUCACGAUUCACAUUGCGACAAGCAAAAUGAACAAAUCCACAAAAUUGCAGCUCAGGCCCCACCCCCGAGCAACCAGGAACAACUUCAUAAGUUUACCACUCUUCUGUGUGAGGCUGCAUGUGGGUAUGUGAUCGUUUCAUAUUGGUUAAGGCCAGGCCAUAUAGAUCAUUACAUAUGAUAUUUUCACUUAUAUGAUAUGAAUGUGCUAUAUUUAGUUGCAAUUAACCAAUAUGAAUCUCUUAGGGAAUAUGCAUGCUGGGAGAGGUGACAGAUUUGCAUGAUGGAAGAGGGUAAAAUUAAAGGUCAGAUGUGGAUAGGGAAAUACAUUAAUAUACCUGAACUACAGGAAUAUGUCCAUGCAACACAGCAAAAGUCAGAGCCGUCCAAUGGCGGGUCUCAGGGUGGACGGAUGGAUAUUUAUGAGGAGUACUGACAACCUAUAAACAAAUUGAAGUUAUUUUCAAAAUGUGACCUUCACAAUAUUUUGAUUAGCAAAUCUGACCUAUCUGUGGCUGGGCAUGUGGGCUAGAGAUGUACAGAAGGACAUUCUAGAAGUGCUUUGGGAAAUGUCGGUAACAGUGGGGUAGUGACUUUAUGUUCUCUGUGCCUCAUAAGGUCUCUUUUGCUUCUUGUCUGAAAGGAAUUAAACCGAUGAUUUCUGACUUCCUCUGAGGUGCCUUGGAGAAGCUGUAAUGGCAGCUACCACAAGCCAACUCCCCAGCCUGUCCCCUCUUUCUGCUUAAGGAAGGGUGGUGGUUCUGAGAGCCAUAGGGUGUCAGACAGCAUGAGAUGCCAUAUCAUUACAUUCGCACCUUUAGGGGAAAUUCUCAGCAGCAGCAAACCCCAGGCAAGGCAAGGUCUGCUUUGAGUUUUCAAGCCAGGGAAGACCACUACCCAUCUGAUGGAGUCACAUUCCCAUCUGGUCACAGCUCACCCUACCCUGUUCUCAUUUCACAGUUCUUCUGGCUUCUCAGUUGACAAGGACCCUCAUGCUACUGGAAACCUGGGCACAAAACCUUCCCUGGACACACCACGAGUGAGCAAUCUGAUACUGGUCCUUCAAUAUGGGGGGCCUCAAAACACUCUAGGCCAAAAGAGAGGCAACAGGGAAGCUGAAGGUUGGGGCCCUUCAGGAGUGGCACCCACACAUGGCUUGUCUCCCAAACACCCCUGGGACCAAACAGCUGUGAUGUCUGACUCAUUCAGAGCAGCUGAAUUCACUCGUCACCUGUCAGGGUAGGCCUUGAGCUGGCUAGGAGUCAUGGAAUGGGCUAGAGAGGAUCAGAGAAGCCCACCAGGACCCAAAGAUGAGGAGCCCUUGCAGGGGUCUGCAUGGUGAUGGGGGAUUCAUAACAGGCAAGAAAAUCCCCAGUACCUGAAACUUAUAAUAUCCAAAAUGGUCUGGAUCCAAUAUGCAAAACUAGGUCUAUUGCCUGUUUUCCUCAGAUGAAUAUAAAACUCACUAAUUAAAAAAAGCACAGUACUAAGACUACAAGAACAUCUAAUUUUGAACUAAAAAAGUUUUAUAGGGUUGCUGAGUUAGGACUGCAGCAUGCCAACCUUCCUAGCCUCUGGGGCUGCCAGACAGACAGGAUAGGACGUGGUCGAAAAGCGUGACUUCACCUAUCACAAGCCUCGUGGUGUGUGUGCGCGAACCAGGAUUGACUGAGCCCCAAACUUAUGCUAGGUCCUCUUUGUAUUUAUUUCUUCCAGCAACUCUCUGAGAUGGGUGUGAUUAUUCUCCCCCUGUUGUGGAUGGGGAUGCUGAGGCUCAAAAAGGUUAAGCCACCUGCCCCAGCACAAAAGCAAGUUACUAAGACUCAGCAGUUUCGGAUUUUGAGCUUAAGUGUCAAACUCUAAAGCCUGCGGGGGUGCGCUUCCCAUGAUAAAUACACCACACUGCCUCACGGAAGCUUUGCCAUUAGCUUUAGGACCUGUGGCUUCAACUCAGCCAAUAGGCGAACCAAUCAGGAUUUGGUUGGGAGGGGGUAGGAUCUGAGGGAGCUACACCUUAGGUCAGGGUAUGGGAAGCAGCUCUGUCUUAUGUGCUGAUGGCUCAGGAGAGAGCUCCCUGCCCUGAUCCCAGAAGGAAUGGAUCAGUAAUAAGAAUCAGACUCAGUUCAGCCGAGAUAAGGGAACGCUGGUGCUUCUUGUAGCUUCAUUGGUUGUUUUUAAAUGAAAUAUGCAUGUGGGCAGCUCCCUGGGAUUUGGUUGGGCUGGGGCCUCCAGAUGGAGGAAAUCUACCGGCUGAUUUGACCUAUUUGCUGGACUGACCGCCCCCAGUGGUGGCUCUCAGGAGAAAAAGCCCCCCCCCCCUUUGCUCGUUUUCCCUGGGGGACUGCCAGGCCCAGGGGCCCUGUAGCCCUCUGCACCCUCACCUCGACAUUCAGGUCAGCUCCAGCAUCCAGCAGCAUCUGAACCAUUGCCUCGUCCCCACGGACGCAGGCAUACAUCAGGGGGGUCAUGCCCUGUGGUGGGUUAAAAACCAGAGAAUGGAGAAGGUUUACAAGGUAGCUGUGUCACUGGACGAUAGCAAAUGGAAAAUCUUACUUGUGUGUAGGUGGCUAUGUUUGUACUCAAAAUCCAGCAUUAAAAAAAUAAAUGUGCUGCCCUUAUGACUCAUAAAGUCACAAUCCUCCCUAUUUUGAAAACCAAAAUGAAGGCAAAAAAAAAAAAAAAAGGUGGGGGAUUGCCGUUUUUGCAAUUAUCUUUGCUUAAGUUGGAGUAUUUUCAUUUGUCUGUCCUAAGGUGCAAGAGACCUAAGGGUGUUUGCUAAAACACGUGGCUGAUUUCAACUUACAGGUCUUGGGAACUUUCUGGAUUCUGUGGUGUCAGUCCUAAGUUAUCUAACUCAUAAACACUGUUUCCUUGACAUUUUUCUCUUUCACAAUGUAAGUAUCAUCUUUGCUCUACACAGCUGCUGGCCAGUGUCAAGGGAAAUUGGAUGCCUCUGAGCAUGCCCCCAUCAUUGAUGUCUGGUUUAUCAUUUACAAGCAAAAGGCAAGUGAAUGAGGAAUGGUUUUUAGGAAUUCCAUGUUUGCCAGUGACUCCUGCUUAUUUUGAAGUUCCACAACCAUUAGAAGGGAGGGAUGGAUUUUUCAAUAAACAGUGUUGAGAAGGUGGCUACUUGGCAAAACAUGCAAGUUAGAGCUUAUCUCGCACCAUCUAACUGGAUCUGUUUCUAGGUGUAAAAGUAAUGGAAGAAAUCAUGAAGGAAAAGCAUUAUGGUGUUGAGGACCUAAAACCGAAAACAUAAACAAAAUUGAAAGGUAGGCAAUAAACUGAGACAUAUUUGUCACAGUAUAAGAAAGGGUUAUAUGCCUAAUAUGUAAAGAGCUCUUCUAAAUAGACAAUCAAAGCUCCAGUGAAAAACUGGCAAAACGUAAGGAAAAUGUUAAUAGGGAGGCGCACCUGGGUGGCUCAGUCGGUUAGGCAUCUGACUUCGGUUCAGGUCAUGAUCUCACGGUUCAUGGGUUUGAGCCCCGUGUCAGGCUCUGUGCUGACAGCUCAGAGCCUGGAGCCUGCUUCGGAUUGUGUGUGUGUGUGUGUGUGUGUGUGUGUGUGUGUCUUUCUCUCUGCCUCUCCCCUACUCACACUCUGCCUCUCAAAAAUGAAUAAACAGUUAAAAAAAAUUUUUUUUAAAGAUUGAUGGGGAAACACAUAUGUUGUUGGAGGGUGUGUACAAGGAAACAAAGUCUCUGCGAAAGUCAGUUCAGAAAGGUUGAUGUCUAUGAGCCACUACGUCCACUUUUAAGAACUUCCCUAACGAUGAACACAGUGUAACGUAUAGGAUUGCAGAGUCACUAUGUUGCACACCUGAAACUACUGUGUCAACUAUACUUCGAUUAAAAACAAAUUUCUCUAAUGAAAAAAAAUUCCCUAAUGAAAUAAUCAGGGAUUUUGAACAAAGACUUGUGUAAAUAUGUUUAACUCAGCAUUAUUGAUAUAAGUAGGGAGAAGCAACCUAAAUAUCCAACAACUGAGGUAUGGUUAACUGAACAAAUAAUAGGACCAUUUUAUGUCGCCAUUAAAAGUGAUUUAAAAAUAGUAUUUAAUGAUACUGCAAAGUACCUAUAAUAUAAAUUGUCGAAAAAGGCAAGAUAUUAUAAAUCUCUGUUUUAAAAAAAUAUAAAUGUGUGUGUGUGUGUGUGUGUGUGUGUGUGUGUGUGUUAGGGAUCCUUGUUGCUCAAGAAAAUUCUUAGCUGCUAUUCCUUCCCUGGAACUCACUGCAUGAGCUGCCCAUAUGAGAAACAGCUCCAUCUGUCCCUUGUGACUUUCCAUCUGGGGCUCACAUUGAAAACUGCUGUUUGUUUCUCUGUCCGUGACACCUUCAUCCACAUGGUGUCUCCCUGACUGGUAGACGCACGAGCUUCUCCCUGUACCUCAGUUUCAGGGACUUGGGGGAUAGCUGCCUAUAUCUCUGAGGUGCCUCCCAGGGUUCCCCAGAAUGACUUUUGUGUAUCUCAAACAUACCCUGAAAGUUUUGUAAAAAUACUCCUGCAGUUGUUCUGUGAUGCAGUAACAGACAGGCAGGCAGAGAACUAAUUUUAACCACGCUGAAAAAAGGACUUGAGGGACACAUACUAAAUAUAAAUGAUGGCUAUCUGGGUGAUGGCAUUAUUUCCUUUCUGGAACAGGCCUAUUUUUCUCAAUUUUCCAUUUCAGCUGCAAUGAUCAUGUGCAAUUUCUAUAAAGAUGAACAAGGAUAUUUUUAUAUUUUAAAAACCGAAACUAACUCAAUAAAUAAAUAAAAAUCACCCUAAGUCACCAGCAGGGGGAGUGUGUGUCCCGUGCCUGCUGUUGGCAAAGUCGUGGGGCAGCGUACCUGGCGGAGGUUGGAGGGGUUGCCUGUUCAGAGACUCGGGCCCUGUACCUGUUCGCUCAUGGUGUUGAUCCCAUCCGGCCCUAGGAGAGACACCGCCUGCUUCACCAGGUCCGUCCGCCCACAGUUCAGCAUCCGGAAACCGAGGUCCUGUUUAAACUUGGCUUCGAUGGCCACAGCGUCCAGCUUCCGAGAAGCACAAAAGCAGUCGUCGGCCCUAAGGAAGGGAGAGACGAUCAGUGAGGUGCAGUGGCUUCGCCAGGAACUGGUCCUUGAGGACCAGUGAGAGUUAGAAAGCACCAAGGAUCCUUUGCCUUUGUUUUUCAUGUCAACUGCCUGUUCCUAGGCUCCAAUUAAAAUCUGGAUGUCUC